AAUCCAUAGGUUAAUGAGGCGAACCGGGGGAACUGAAACAUCUAAGUACCCCGAGGAAAAGAAAUCAACCGAGAUUCCCCCAGUAGCGGCGAGCGAACGGGGAGGAGCCCAGAGCCUGAAUCAGCAUGUGUGUUAGUGGAAGCGUCUGGAAAGGCGCGCGAUACAGGGUGACAGCCCCGUACACAAAAGCGCAUGUGCUGUGAGCUCGAUGAGUAGGGCGGGACACGUGGUAUCCUGUCUGAAUAUGGGGGGACCAUCCUCCAAGGCUAAAUACUCCUGACUGACCGAUAGUGAACCAGUACCGUGAGGGAAAGGCGAAAAGAACCCCGGCGAGGGGAGUGAAAAAGAACCUGAAACCGUGUACGUACAAGCAGUGGGAGCACAGGUUUACCUGUGUGACUGCGUACCUUUUGUAUAAUGGGUCAGCGACUUAUAUUCUGUAGCAAGGUUAACCGAAUAGGGGAGCCGGAGGGAAACCGAGUCUUAAUUGGGCGUUAAGUUGCAGGGUAUAGACCCGAAACCCGGUGAUCUAGCCAUGGGCAGGUUGAAGGUUGGGUAACACUAACUGGAGGACCGAACCGACUAAUGUUGAAAAAUUAGCGGAUGACCUGUGGCUGGGGGUGAAAGGCCAAUCAAACCGGGAGAUAGCUGGUUCUCCCCGAAAGCUAUUUAGGUAGCGCCUCGUGAAUUCAUCUCCGGGGGUAGAGCACUGUUUCGGCUAGGGGGCCAUCCCGGCUUACCAACCCGAUGCAAACUGCGAAUACCGGAGAAUGUUAUCACGGGAGACACACGGCGGGUGCUAACGUCCGUCGUGAAGAGGGAAACAACCCAGACCGCCAGCUAAGGUCCCAAAGUCAUGGUUAAGUGGGAAACGAUGUGGGAAGGCCCAGACAGCCAGGAUGUUGGCUUAGAAGCAGCCAUCAUUUAAAGAAAGCGUAAUAGCUCACUGGUCGAGUCGGCCUGCGCGGAAGAUGUAACGGGGCUAAACCAUGCACCGAAGCUGCGGCAGCGAACGUAUCACUUAAAGCGAUUCAGCGGGUUACGAUUGACGGAGCGAAGCGACGUCAAAGCGUAUACAAAGUCGAGUCGGUUUAAGGAUACGUUCGUUGGGUAGGGGAGCGUUCUGUAAGCCUGUGAAGGUGGCCUGUGAGGGUUGCUGGAGGUAUCAGAAGUGCGAAUGCUGACAUAAGUAACGAUAAAGCGGGUGAAAAGCCCGCUCGCCGGAAGACCAAGGGUUCCUGUCCAACGUUAAUCGGGGCAGGGUGAGUCGACCCCUAAGGCGAGGCCGAAAGGCGUAGUCGAUGGGAAACAGGUUAAUAUUCCUGUACUUGGUGUUACUGCGAAGGGGGGACGGAGAAGGCUAUGUUGGCCGGGCGACGGUUGUCCCGGUUUAAGCGUGUAGGCUGGUUUUCCAGGCAAAUCCGGAAAAUCAAGGCUGAGGCGUGAUGACGAGGCACUACGGUGCUGAAGCAACAAAUGCCCUGCUUCCAGGAAAAGCCUCUAAGCAUCAGGUAACAUCAAAUCGUACCCCAAACCGACACAGGUGGUCAGGUAGAGAAUACCAAGGCGCUUGAGAGAACUCGGGUGAAGGAACUAGGCAAAAUGGUGCCGUAACUUCGGGAGAAGGCACGCUGACACGUAGGUGAAGUGAUUUACUCA
rnacentral:rRNA from 1 species